GAGCGCAACCCUCGUCCUUAGUUGCCAGCAUUGAGUUGGGCACUCUGGGGAGACUGCCGGUGACAAACUGGAGGAAGGUGGGGACGACGUCAAGUCAGCAUGCCCCUUAUGCUCUGGGCUACACACGUGCUACAAUGGCGCGGACAAAGGGCAGCGAACGCGCGAGCGGGAGCCAAUCCCAAAAACCGCGUCUCAGUUCAGAUCGCAGGCUGCAACUCGCCUGCGUGAAGGCGGAAUCGCUAGUAAUCGCAGAUCAGCAUGCUGCGGUGAAUACGUUCCCGGGCCUUGUACACACCGCCCGUCACACCAUGGGAGCUGGCCAUGCCCGAAGUCGGAGCACCCGCCGAAGGCAGGGCUGGUGACUGGGGUGAAGUCGUAACAAGGUAGCCGUACCGGAAGGUGCGGCUGUAUCACCUCCUUU
rnacentral:rRNA from 1 species